rnacentral:rRNA from 1 species
UACAUGCAAGUCGAGCGAACAGAAGGGAGCUUGCUCCCGGAUGUUAGCGGCGGACGGGUGAGUAACACGUGGGUAACCUGCCUGUAAGACUGGGAUAACUCCGGGAAACCGGAGCUAAUACCGGAUAGUUCCUUGAACCGCAUGGUUCAAGGAUGAAAGACGGUUUCGGCUGUCACUUACAGAUGGACCCGCGGCGCAUUAGCUAGUUGGUGGGGUAAUGGCUCACCAAGGCGACGAUGCGUAGCCGACCUGAGAGGGUGAUCGGCCACACUGGGACUGAGACACGGCCCAGACUCCUACGGGAGGCAGCAGUAGGGAAUCUUCCGCAAUGGACGAAAGUCUGACGGAGCAACGCCGCGUGAGUGAUGAAGGUUUUCGGAUCGUAAAGCUCUGUUGUUAGGGAAGAACAAGUGCGAGAGUAACUGCUCGCACCUUGACGGUACCUAACCAGAAAGCCACGGCUAACUACGUGCCAGCAGCCGCGGUAAUACGUAGGUGGCAAGCGUUGUCCGGAMUUAUUGGGCGUAAAGGGCUCGCAGGCGGUUUCUUAAGUCUGAUGUGAAAGCCCCCGGCUCAACCGGGGAGGGUCAUUGGAAACUGGGAAACUUGAGUGCAGAAGAGGAGAGUGGAAUUCCACGUGUAGCGGUGAAAUGCGUAGAGAUGUGGAGGAACACCAGUGGCGAAGGCGACUCUCUGGUCUGUAACUGACGCUGAGGAGCGAAAGCGUGGGGAGCGAACAGGAUUAGAUACCCUGGUAGUCCACGCCGUAAACGAUGAGUGCUAAGUGUUAGGGGGUUUCCGCCCCUUAGUGCUGCAGCUAACGCAUUAAGCACUCCGCCUGGGGAGUACGGUCGCAAGACUGAAACUCAAAGGAAUUGACGGGGGCCCGCACAAGCGGUGGAGCAUGUGGUUUAAUUCGAAGCAACGCGAAGAACCUUACCAGGUCUUGACAUCCUCUGACAACCCUAGAGAUAGGGCUUUCCCUUCGGGGACAGAGUGACAGGUGGUGCAUGGUUGUCGUCAGCUCGUGUCGUGAGAUGUUGGGUUAAGUCCCGCAACGAGCGCAACCCUUGAUCUUAGUUGCCAGCAUUUAGUUGGGCACUCUAAGGUGACUGCCGGUGACAAACCGGAGGAAGGUGGGGAUGACGUCAAAUCAUCAUGCCCCUUAUGACCUGGGCUACACACGUGCUACAAUGGACAGAACAAAGGGCUGCGAGACCGCAAGGUUUAGCCAAUCCCAUAAAUCUGUUCUCAGUUCGGAUCGCAGUCUGCAACUCGACUGCGUGAAGCUGGAAUCGCUAGUAAUCGCGGAUCAGCAU